GGGAGAGGGAGAGACACGGAGCUGAAUUCUCCGGCAAGUAGCUGCGAUCGGCUUCAGAGAGCGGCGCUCAGAGCCGGUGUGUGGGAGCGUCGCUGGGAGAAAGGAGCGGACAGAAUUCACAAAUCUCGGAUAGAGGUACUCAUGGAGUUCCUGACUCAAUAGACUUGCCAACUGGUGGCUGGGACGAUGGUUGGUCAGCCGGAAAGACACAGUCAGGGAGGUCGGAGUCUUCAAUCAAUCCUGCUGCCAGGUACAAUGGUGAUCCUGUAAGAGACCAGUGCGGAAUGGGAUGUUAUAAAUCUCAGCUGAGGCUUGCGGCCUACCAUUACCUGGGAGUCACUAAGGGAGAGAAUCUGAGAGAGAGCAGCACAAAGCGGGAGAAUAUAAAUCAGCAGCGAGGGUCAAGGCCGACUGGGACUUGGAUCUGGAGAAACAGCAGAGCAGGAGGCUCGAAAUCAGCACCGAGUCACAGAGGGAGUGACCGUGGGAGGGAGCAACUUGGAGCAGGAGCUUGAGGCUGACUCACACCUGGGAGAAUAUAAAUCAGCACUGAGGAUCGAGGCCUAGCUGUACCUGGGAGUGACAGAGACGGUGACCCUGU